UACAGAGGGUGCAAGCGUUGCUCGGAAUUACUGGGCGUAAAGCGUGAGUAGGCGGCCUGUCAAGUGGGGUGUGAAAGCCCUGGGCUCAACCCAGGAACUGCGCUCCAGACUGUCAGGCUUGAGUGCCGGAGAGGGUGGUGGAAUUCCCGGUGUAGAGGUGAAAUUCGUAGAUAUCGGGAGGAACACCAGUGGCGAAGGCGGCCACCUGGACGGACACUGACGCUGAGUCACGAAAGCGUGGGGAGCAAACAGG
rnacentral:rRNA from 1 species